rnacentral:rRNA from 1 species
GUGAGGAAUAUUGGACAAUGGAUGGAAAUCUGAUCCAGCCAUGCCGCGUGCAGGAAGACGGCCCUAUGGGUUGUAAACUGCUUUUGUAUGGGAGCAAUAAGGGCUACGUGUAGCCUGAUGAGAGUACCAUACGAAUAAGGACCGGCUAACUCCGUGCCAGCAGCCGCGGUAAUACGGAGGGUCCGAGCGUUAUCCGGAUUUAUUGGGUUUAAAGGGUGCGUAGGCGGUUUUAUAAGUCAGCGGUGAAAUUUUCCGGCUAAACCGGGAUACUGCCGUUGAUACUGUAAGGCUAGGAUAUGGUUGCUGUGGGUGGAAUGUGUGGUGUAGCGGUGAAAUGCUUAGAGAUCACACAGAAUAUCGAUUGCGAAGGCAGCUCACAAAGCCAUUAUUGACGCUGAGGCACGAAAGUGUGGGGAUCAAACAGGAUUAGAUACCCUAGUAGUCC